AGCGAACGCUGGCGGCAGGCCUAACACAUGCAAGUCGAACGAACUCUUCGGAGUUAGUGGCGGACGGGUGAGUAACACGUGGGAACGUGCCCUUUGGUACGGAAUAACUCAGGGAAACUUGAGCUAAUACCGUAUGUGCCCUUCGGGGGAAAGAUUUCUCGCCAUUGGAGCGGCCCGCGUCUGAUUUGCUAGUUGGGGAGGUAACGGCUCACCAAGGCGACGAUCAGUAGCUGGUCUGAGGGGAUGACCAGCCACAUUGGGACCGAGACACGGCCCAAACUACUACGGGAGGGAGCAGUGGGGAAUCUUGCGCAAUGGGGGAAAGCCUGACGCAGCCAUGCCGCGUGGAUGAUGAAGGUCUUAGGAUUGUAAAAUCCUUUCACCGGUGAAGAUAAUGACUGUAGCCGGAGAAGAAGCCCCGGCUAACUUCGUGCCAGCCGCCGCCGUAACAC
rnacentral:rRNA from 1 species